ensembl:lncRNA
CUUUUUGAACCGGAGAGCCCUCCCCCGCGUCCUCCCCUCUCUCCUGGGCCGGAGGGUCCGCCGCUCGGUCUGCCCUCUGGGGCUCAGCGGCGGGCGGGUCCUCCCCGGGGGGGCCCGCCCCGUCCCCACAGCCCUCCCCACCGGGGACGGGGCGGGGGGACGCGGGGCCACCGGCCGGACGUUCGGGUCCAGCCGCGGAAGGUUGGAUGGAGGGUUGGGUGGAGGGUUGGAUGGAGGGUUGGGUGGAGGGUUGGGUCGAGGGUUGGGUCGAGGGUUGGGUCGAGGGUUGGGUGGGGGUGUUGGUGGAGCCGUCCUUCCGUGACGAACUGCAAGUCGAUGGAUGCAAAAUAAAUGACUGUAAUAACACCAGUUUCUAUGCGAAAAAGAAUGUGACUU